rnacentral:rRNA from 1 species
GACGAACGCUGGCGGCGUGCUUAACACAUGCAAGUCGAACGGAAAGGCCCUGCUUUUGUGGGGUGCUCGAGUGGCGAACGGGUGAGUAACACGUGAGUAACCUGCCCUUGACUUUGGGAUAACUUCAGGAAACUGGGGCUAAUACCGGAUAGGAGCUCCUGCUGCAUGGUGGGGGUUGGAAAGUUUCGGCGGUUGGGGAUGGACUCGCGGCUUAUCAGCUUGUUGGUGGGGUAGUGGCUUACCAAGGCUUUGACGGGUAGCCGGCCUGAGAGGGUGACCGGCCACAUUGGGACUGAGAUACGGCCCAGACUCCUACGGGAGGCAGCAGUGGGGAAUAUUGCACAAUGGGCGGAAGCCUGAUGCAGCAACGCCGCGUGCGGGAUGACGGCCUUCGGGUUGUAAACCGUUUUCGCCUGUGACGAAGCGUGAGUGACGGUAAUGGGUAAAGAAGCACCGGCUAACUCCGUG